CAAUGGUAAAAAUAACAAAUUAUUUACUGCUUUAUAAUGUUAAAGUAUUUCACCAAGACAAGUUGCAGUCAAAUUAAUGUGAGUUAUGGAAAAUGAAAUACAUAAAGAUGUAUUUAAACAAGUGCAGACUAAAUAUUUUCCAUACAGGGUAUGUAAAUGAAAAGAUAUACAGUAAGUGCACACUUGAUACGACUAUGCAGGCAAUAGUUAGUUUCAGAUACUCUUGGAUAGUUCAUGCAUAAACCUUCCCAAAGUACAAGUUCAGUCAGUCUUUGGGGGGAUGUGGAGGGAUAAUUAAAAAGGACUGAGUUCCUUGCAAUAUCAGUAUAAACCGGAUAAGGAAGGGUCGUCAGUUAUAUAUAUUACUUACUGUAAUUUGUGACUGUCGAGGAAGAGGUGUGGCUGU
rnacentral:lncRNA from 1 species